rnacentral:rRNA from 1 species
UACGGAGGGUGCAAGCGUUGUCCGGAAUCACUGGGCGUAAAGGGCGCGUAGGCGGCUCGGUAAGUAGGGGGUGAAAUCCUGCGGCUUAACCGCAGGGCUGCCUUCUAAACUGUCGAGCUCGAGCACGGUAGAGGCAGAUGGAAUUCCCCGGUGUAGCGGUGGAAUGCGUAGAGAUCGGGAAGAACAUCAGUGGCGAAGGCGGUCUGCUGGGCCGUUGCUGACGCUGAGCGCGACAGCGUGGGGGAGCAAACAGG